AUCAAGCAAGUGUUUCUAGUUCUUGCCUUUAGCAGAGCGUUUGGGUAGCAACCCUUCCGAUCCGGUCGAAAAAUUCGACCCAGUCCACCCGCGGGAAUUCGCCUAAUAUCUGUCACUCUCCGGCUCAACUUAGUUGGAUUCAAGCGCACUUUUAUGGCCUGAAUCGGCACACAAACGAACUAAACUCUCCGCAGCUCAUUUCCUCGAGAGAGAGUGCUUUCUGUUGAAAACUCAACGACGAUAUUUCGUUUCGAUCUAACUCGACGGAAAUGGCUCUGGCGAAAAAAUGGCCUUGUGCACUGCCGUGCGAAGGAAAAACGCCGUAUGAACCCUCGAGAGUUGCCAAAUUUCCUUCGACAAAAUAUUUAUUUUUAAGGAGAAAUAUACAAAUUUUAUCUGAAAAAUUUCAGAAUCUGUAGGUAAGAUUGAGAACACAAUUAGCAGAGAAAUUGGGAGGAAAAUACUCAUAAUUUUACCAGGAAAUUCGCGUUUUAUGAUUGGACAUUUGGCAACGCCUAUAUGUUCAUACGGUGUUUUUCCUUAGCACGGCAGUGCACACCCGGGCCCCCUUCGCCCUCCCCGCGGACAAUGACAUAUUUAAUAAAUGUGGCAAUAGAGGGAGGGCAAUUCUGGAUCGGAGAGAUGCGAUUACUGCUGCGAGUACGGGCAGUAGGCAGUCAGUUGUCUGUUACGCUCGGCGCUACGUCCGGCAUCGGCGGCUCCUCCGCGCUCUCGUAUUUUGAGCCUCGCGUUUUUUGUUGCCGGGAUAAACAAGGCUGUGCUCACCAGAGCUUUCAUCACUCAUCGCGCUAAAUACGAUUAAGUGAAAAAUGUUCCCUAAGUGAAAUCGAUGGACACACCAUUAAGCCCGUAACUCAAAGUGCGGUUUCGGGUUAUUUCAUUCUGGACUUAAACUUUGGCCCGAAGGAAAAGGGAAAUCGAGUCGUGUGUCGUGGAAGACAUGGUGAAUCGGAAUUGGAAGCGGUAGUGUCCGAGGGCUCGUUUUCACGAAAAGGCGGGCGUGGCUCUCCCGCGGCGGACGACCGGUGGCGGUUUUUCGCGGGAAGCGGGCGAAGCGGGAAGGCUCGAAAAUGAUGGGAACGGUGAGCUACGUGGUGUGGGCGGAGUCCUCGGCCCCCGCCUCCAUGCCCUACCACCCGGUGACGGCCCCCGCCCCCCCGGUCCCCAUGAUGCCCCCUCCGAACCCCAUCGGGCCCUCUGGUUCCACUCGGUGAGUCCUCGUUCAGCAUUAAUAACCCACUUUCCAUUCUCGUCUUAUCAUCUCCUUUCCACGCGGGAAAAUUGGUGCAACAGAAAAUCACAAGAUCCACGUACCGAGUGCUCUUACUCUCGUCCGCUUCAAACUACAUGAAUCUUCCUCUGGAAACUAAACUUGAAAAAAUUCAAAUCGCCAUUUAUUGUAGAUUAUCCUUUUCAAGGCCAUCCGCACCUUUAAUGUUCUUCCAUUUCUUUUCAUUUUACCUUGAAAAGAUAUGAAUUUUUGUUCGUUUCGAAUUGUG
rnacentral:lncRNA from 1 species